AUUGAACGCUGGCGGAAUGCUUUACACAUGCAAGUCGAGCGGCAGCGCGGCCUUCGGGCUGGCGGCGAGCGGCGAACGGGUGAGUAAUGCAUCGGAACAUGCCCAGUCGUGGGGGAUAACACUUCGAAAGAAGUGCUAAUACCGCAUACGUCCUGAGGGGGAGAGCGGGGGAUCGCAAGACCUCGCGCAAUUGGAGUGGCCGAUGUCAGAUUAGCUAGUUGGUGGGGUAAAGGCCUACCAAGGCGACGAUCUGUAGCUGGUCUGAGAGGAUGAUCAGCCACACUGGGACUGAGACACGGCCCAGACUCCUACGGGAGGCAGCAGUGGGGAAUUUUGGACAAUGGGGGCAACCCUGAUCCAGCCAUUCCGCGUGAGUGAAGAAGGCCUUCGGGUUGUAAAGCUCUUUCGGCAGGAACGAAACGGUGGGCUCUAACAUAGUCCGCUAAUGACGGUACCUGAAGAAGAAGCACCGGCUAACUACGUG
rnacentral:rRNA from 1 species